GCUAUCAAAAUUGUAACGGAGUGUAGAUGUUCUGUGAUAAAUUAUGGCAAAAGUGUUGCAACAGCGCCUGUUGCUGGUGAAUAGAGGCAUGUGCAAAUUGCUGCAGGGAGUGCUCACAACUGGAGGAAUGAGAGACGAUUAUCCCGUGACCAAAGUCGACGCUCACCUGUCAUUCCUCUGUAAAACUGUUGUUACAGGUGUUGUGUUCCAAGGAGUUGGGGUACAAUAACAACACGUCAUCCAUGCUGCGGCACUACCGUGCCUUGCGUGAGAAUAAGGAAGGAACUGGAGCUUCACCCAGCCAAGCCACCAGAAAACGAGCUGGAUGAAGCCCUCGUCUCCAUGAUAGUGAAGGAUACACAGUCCUUCAGUUUGUGGAUGAUGUUGGAUUCAGGACAUUUGUCUCCAAAUUGGGUCCCAAUUAUGUUCUCUCUAUAAGGCAUGUAUAUAUGGCUGCAUGCACGAAACGAAUGAGUACUUUAUUGUAUGUUACACAAUUCAGCACUAUGUAUUUUUCCUUUAGGCUCUGAAGGCCAUUGUGGAGGCCAAGUAUGACUCAGCAAAGGAGAAGGCUAAGGCUAAAGUGGAGAAGGUGGCUGCUGUUAGCCUUACAUCUGAUAUGUGGACGUCCAUCAAUAUGGAUGCCUACCUGGCUGUAACAUGGCAUUUUGUGGAUGAGAACACCAGGCUUGGUUCAGUGCUGAUGGGAGUGCAGGCCUUCCCCCAGUCUCACACUGCUGAAAAUAUUGCUUGUGUGAAAGCCUCCAGAAUGGAGGAAU